rnacentral:rRNA from 1 species
CGGCGAAAGUCGGGAUAAUACUUGAUGGUCCCUUCGGGGUAAAGAUUUAUCGCUCUAUGAACGGCCUGCGUUCUAUCAGCUUGAUGGUAAGGUAACGGCUUACCAUGGCUACGACGGAUAGGGGAGGUGAGAGCCUGACCCCCACCGAUGGAACUGAGACACGGUCCAUACUCCUACGGGAGGCCGCAGUCGAGAAUCUUCCGCAAUGGACGAAAGUCUGACGGAGCGACGCCGCGUGGUGGAUGAAGCCCUUAGGGGCGUAAACACCUUUUAUGAGGGAAGAAGUUUAUUGACAUUACCUCAUGAAUAAGGGGCUCCCAAUUCUGUGCCAGCAGGAGCGGUAAUACAGAAGCCUCAAGCGUUACCCGGAUUCACUGGGCGUAAAGGGUGCGUAGGCGGAUAGAUUAGUCAGGUGUUAAAUCCUGGGGCUCAACCUCAGGCUCGCAUUUGAAACGGUCUAUCUAGAAGAUGUUAGAGGUGAGCAGAACUCACGGUGUAGGGGUGAAAUCCGUUGAUAUCGUGGGGAAUACCAAAUGCGAAGGCAGCUCACUGGGGCAUUCUUGACGCUGAGGCACGAAAGCAUGGGUAGCGAACGGGAUUAGAUACCCCGGUAGUCCAUGCCCUAAACGCUGUCUGCUAGCCAUAGGGGGAAUCGACCCCUCCUGUGGCGUAGGUAACCCGUUAAGCAGACCGCCUGGGUAGUACGAGCGCAAGCUUAAAACUCAAAGGAAUAGACGGGGGCUCGCACAAGCGGUGGAGCGCGUGGCUUAAUUCGUCGCUAAGCGAAAAACCUUACCAAGGCUAGAUAUCAUACUGCACGACCGGGGAAACCCGGUAAGCUUUCGAAGGUGUAUGACAGGUGAUGCAUGGCCGUCGUCAGUUCGUGGCUUGAGCUGUUCCCUUAAGUGGGGAAACGAACGCAACCCUCGUUGCCUGUUACAAGUGUCAGGCGAGACUGCUCCCUCACGGGAGAGGAAGGUGAGGAUGACGCCAGGUCAGCAUGUCCCUUGAUGCCUUGGGCUGCACACACGCUACAAUGGGAUGCACAACGGGACGCAAUACCGCAAGGUGGAGCAAAUCCUUAUAAAACAUCCCCCAGUUCGGAUUGUGGGCUGCAACUCGCCCACAUGAAGUCGGAAUCGCUAGUAAUCGCGGAUCAGCACGCCGCGGUGAUACGUUCCCGAGCCUUGUACUCACCGCCCGUCAAGUCAGGGGAG